rnacentral:rRNA from 1 species
UUCCUACGGGGGGCAGCAGUGAGGAAUAUUGGUCAAUGGGCGCAGGCCUGAACCAGCCAAGUAGCGUGAAGGAUGACUGCCCUAUGGGUUGUAAACUUCUUUUAUAUGGGAAUAAAGUUUUCCACGUGUGGAAUUUUGUAUGUACUUUAUGAAUAAGGAUCGGCUAACUCCGUGCCAGCAGCCGCGGUAAUACGGAGGAUCCGAGCGUUAUCCGGAUUUAUUGGGUUUAAAGGGAGCGUAGAUGGGUUGUUAAGUCAGUUGUGAAAGUUUGCGGCUCAACCGUAAAAUUGCAAUUGAUACUGGCA